GAGCCUGUAGCUCAGCUGGUAGAGCAUCUGACUUUUAAUCAGAGGGUCCCGGGUUCGAGUCCCGGCGGGCUCACCA
rnacentral:tRNA from 1 species